GGCUGUGUAGCUAAGUGGUUAGAGCACCAGUCCUAGAAUGUACGGGGGUCUUGGGUUCAAUGCCCAACAUGGCCA